GGGUAGUUGCUUUCUGUUUUGUACCUGAUGGAGCUGUUUCGGUUGUGCUUUUUGUUACUUUGUAUUUAGUGUUCAGUUUUAUUUAAUAAACGAUGAACACGUGCUGCGCUUUGGUCCUCACCUUCUUCCACCAACGGCCGUUACAACUAUAGUAGAUCCUCUUACCUGAGGAGUGAGUUUCCCCACUCUGAGUGACUGGCUCGUUGAGAACCACCUCCACCAUAGUGUGGUCGAUGUCGAUUCCAGGUGGUGAAUGUCAGAAUGGAGUACUCGGAUGAACAGACAACUUCCAUUUGGUGACAAUGUAUACAUAAUGGAUGCACUGCUGGGCCCAUCUUUCUGCCUGUUCUGGCUUGAUUGUGAUGUCCUCAUACCACAAUGAAGAUAAAGCUCAAUUGAAGGAGAGUCUGAUUGAAGAUGGAGAAGUGGAGAAAUGGAUCUGAGGGACAAGUCACCCCGUCUGGCGCCCACCACAUGGUAACCUAUGGCCCUAGGUAUCAGGUAAGGCAGGAUGGAUGGAGGGAUGGGCGAGGAAAAGAAGGGGGCAUCUUCUCCUGGGGAAUCGUUGGACAGGAUGGUUGACCUUCACUAGUGGCGGUGGAGGCGGGAUGGACGAGUUGAUCCUCUGAUUAUGCAAAUGAGGAGGGCUUUGAUGCAAAGUGCCCCGGACUGGUCACCAAUGUUUCACGAGUCGUGAAAGGGCAAGGCUCCCUGGGAGAAAUAAGGCACAUGAGCUGAAUGGAGAGAUGAACAGGCAUGUCGAGGAGAUGAGUGAGAGCAGAGGAAGAAGGGAGUGAGGAAGAAAGGACGAAGGGAGAGAGGGACAUAAGUUCCUCAGGUCCUAAUAAGCUGGACCGGCGACUCCUCCAGCAUAAUAAAUUAUCAUAUUUCCACGUAAUUAGCUUGUUUUUCCGCUUGAAAUGAGUGAGCGGGUUGACGAUGCAUUCGGUGCCGUGGGGGCUGGCCUAUCCUGUCUCCCUCUCUACGAUGACCACUAACUUCCCCCUUCUCGCAUGAUCGCUCCUUCUCCCCAUUUUCCUUCCAGCACACCCCUCAUAUCCACCCUUUAUGAUCAUAUCCUGUGCUAUGAUCUCAGUCCUCUGUAUGAGAUGAUAGGGAGAUGAGAGGGGGUUUUGGUAAGGCGAGAGGAUUCCAUUUUACAUUUUUUAAAUCUUUGGUCUGCCGCCCUAGGAUUUGUGCGGGGAGACGAGCAGAUGACUGGUGACACUGUGGCUCUCUGUCAGGGCCCUGAGGAGCCUCAGGGGUGCACACUGCCUC
ensembl:lncRNA